CCUACGGGUGGCUGCAGUGGGGAAUAUUGGACAAUGGGCGAAAGCCUGAUCCAGCCAUGCCGCGUGUGUGAAGAAGGCCUUCGGGUUGUAAAGCACUUUCAGUGGGGAAGAAAGCCUUGGGGCUAAUACCCUCGAGGAAGGACAUCACCCACAGAAGAAGCACCGGCUAACUCCGUGCCAGCAGCCGCGGUAAUACGGAGGGUGCGAGCGUUAAUCGGAAUUACUGGGCGUAAAGCGCGCGUAGGCGGUCUGAUAAGCCGGUUGUGAAAGCCCCGGGCUCAACCUGGGAACGGCAUCCGGAACUGUCAAGCUAGAGUGCAGGAGAGGAAGGUAGAAUUCCCGGUGUAGCGGUGAAAUGCGUAGAGAUCGGGAGGAAUACCAGUGGCGAAGGCGGCCUUCUGGACUGACACUGACGCUGAGGUGCGAAAGCGUGGGUAGCAAACAGGAUUAGAUACCCGAGUAGUC
rnacentral:rRNA from 1 species